rnacentral:rRNA from 1 species
GACGAACGCUGGCGGCGUGCUUAACACAUGCAAGUCGAACGGAAAGGCCCUGCUUUUGUGGGGUGCUCGAGUGGCGAACGGGUGAGUAACACGUGAGUAACCUGCCCUUGACUUUGGGAUAACUUCAGGAAACUGGGGCUAAUACCGGAUAGGAGCUCCUGCUGCAUGGUGGGGGUUGGAAAGUUUCGGCGGUUGGGGAUGGACUCGCGGCUUAUCAGCUUGUUGGUGGGGUAGUGGCUUACCAAGGCUUUGACGGGUAGCCGGCCUGAGAGGGUGACCGGCCACAUUGGGACUGAGAUACGGCCCAGACUCCUACGGGAGGCAGCAGUGGGGAAUAUUGCACAAGGGGCGGAAGCCUGAUGCAGCAACGCCGCGUGCGGGAUGACGGCCUUCGGGUUGUAAACCGCUUUCGCCUGUGACGAAGCGUGAGUGACGGGAAUGGGUAAAGAAGCACCGGCUAACUACG